AACAUUGCGAGAGGGCAUCUGAUUGCAAUUAAAGUUUCGACGGUAUAUGAUUGGUGUGCGUUUGAUUAGCUUGUUGGUAGGGUAACGGCCUACCAAGGCGACGAUCAAUAGCUGGCGUGAGAGCGCGACCAGCCACACUGGAACUGAGACACGGUCCAGACUCCUACGGGAGGCAGCAGUAGGGAAUAUUGGACAAUGGGCGAAAGCCUGAUCCAGCCAUGCCGCGUGAUAGAUGAAGGCCCUCUGGGUUGUAAAUAUCUUUUAUCUGGGAAGAAACUCCUCUAUUCUUAGAGGCCUGACGGUACCAGAGGAAUAAGCACCGGCUAACUCCGUG
rnacentral:rRNA from 1 species